GACGAACGCUGGCGGCGUGCUUAACACAUGCAAGUCGAGCGGUAAGGCCCUCGGGUACGACGAGCGGCGAACGGGUGAGUAACACGUGGGUGACCUGCCUCUAGCUCUGGGAUAAGCCUGGGAAACUGGGUCUAAUACCGGAUAUGACUCCACGGCGCAUGUUGUGGGGUGGAAAGCCUUGUGUGGCUAGAGAUGGGCCCGCGG
rnacentral:rRNA from 1 species